rnacentral:lncRNA from 1 species
GCAUCGAUAAUGUUCAGCAAGACAAAUUCUAUGUAAAUUACUAUUUAUGGCUAUGGUCAAUUUUAAUCCAUCAGUUUUGGAAAAGUACGCUAAUCAUCAGAAUCAGAUUCAUUUUUGUCACAUUUCAAAUCGUCUUGUUGGUAUCACUUGUUAAAUUUUAUUAUGACUUGAAUCUUCAAUUAAGGUGGUACCUAACACUAUGGGGACAUAACUCUGUAAAUCAGCUAAACGUUUUAAUUACGUUGUAUUGUUUAAGAAAUAUAAAGCUUCUCGAUGAUCAAAAUAGGUGUUUGUCAAACUGUUAUAUAUCCUAUGAAAUUUUUCCGAGAAAGUGUGUGGUUCAAGUUUUUAUAUUUUUGUUCUAGGGUCAAGAUAAA